rnacentral:rRNA from 1 species
GACUCUCGGCAUGGAUAUCUCGGCUCUUGUCACGAUGAAGAACGUAGCGAAAUGUGAUACUUAGUGUGAAUUGCAGAAUCCCGUGAAUCAUCGAGUUUUUGAACGCAAUUUGAGCCCGAGGCCUCGGUCGAGGGCACGUCUGUCUGGGCGUCU